CAUGAAAAGGGAAAGCGAUAAACAGGGUCAAAAUAUGCGGAUAGAUCUCAAUCAGAGAGUCAAAAGGAAGUGCCUGUGUUUAUUUGUCGUGUCUUAAUUAUGUUUGUAUAUGACAAUAACAAAUCUUUUGUCAUGGCGGAGCUCUGGAGAGGACAGCCAGAGGAAAUGGAGGCUGGAACAGCUGGACACCCUCCAUUGGUGCAUGACGGAGGAACAAGAAAGACCAAGGAACAACGCUCCCGUUUCCUGGCAGAUUGGAGCCGCGGCACAGAUCCGACCAGGGGCCUGUUUGGUCCAUACAGAAUACCGCUUCAUUUCUAAUUUCCACGUAUGUGGGAACUUCUCCUCACAAACUAAUACAAUAAUACACCAGUAAAUCCUGUGUUACUAAAAAAUAAAAAAUAAAUCUUUUUUUUUUUUAAGUUAUGGUGCAGUAAAACUGUUGUUUUUAUAAGCUAAAAUGUGAAAAGAUAAUAUUUUACCCAAAAUAGUUUACCAAAGUGAUUUAUGGAUGUAUUUAAAAUGUGACUAAAGCCACAGCCACACACAGAUAAAACGCGUUUUCUCAUGUCCUAGAACUCAAAG